rnacentral:tRNA from 1 species
CGGGGCUUGAUCUCAGUGGCAGAAAGCUUAUCUAGAAGUCAUGAGACCCUGGGUUCAACUCCCAGAAUCCAGA